UAUACGCAGGCCAAUGCUUCUAAUUUCAUAGCAAGCUCGCUUGCUAUGAAAUAGGCAACCAGUAAUAUAAGCAAGUGUGCGCUAUUUAUAGCGCUAGCCAACAAACCUAUAAUUAUAUUAACUCUAAGAGAAAUUUAAUAAUAAACGAAGUGAAUUGAAAUAUCUUAGUAACUUUAGGAAAAGAAAUCAAAAGAGAUUCUAUGAUUAGCGUGAGCUAAAAUAGACUAGCCUAAAAAGUCAAAUGGUGGAUAAACUGUUUAAAUUAAAUGGGGAACCUUCCUCAAAGGCUAAAUAUAAUGUAUAAGCGAUAGUGGAAAGUACCGUGAGGGAACCAAAACAAAAACAGUGAUUUUAUAAGCAGUUCGGGAAAAUAAAAAAAGUUAGAACGUACCUUUUGCAUAAUGGGUCACCAAGUUAACAUUAGAUGCGAGUAGGAGGCUUUGCCUAUGCAUACGUAGUUAAACCGAGCGUUAAAAUAACGGUAAGUAUCUAAAGUUAGACCCGAAGCCUGGUGAUUUUACCAUAAUCAGGAUUAUAAAAGUCCGAACGGAAUAUUGUAGCAUAAAUAUCCGAAGAAUUAUGGUAGGUGUAGUGAAAGACAAUACUGACCAGGAUAGCUGGUUUUCUGCGAAACCUAUAACAGUAGGCAAUUUAAGUAUAAUAUCUUAGCAGGUACAGAAUUUAAUCUCAGACAAGACAUAAGGCUUAGCUUGCUAGCAAGUAAAGCCCAUGUUUUAUUUUGUACAAAUUGGGGGAUCAUGAAGAUUUUAUCAGUGAGUAUGUAGACUCGGAAUGGCAAAGAUAUAUCUUAAAUCAUCAGACAUAGAAUGAUAAGGUUGUAUGUCAAAAGGGAAACAGCCCAGAACAAGAGUUAAGGUUCCUAAAUUAUUAGUUGAGUGAAAUUAAGAAGGUUUUUAUUAAAGUCGACAAGGAGAUAGGCUUAGAAGCAGCCAUAAUUUUAUGACCUCGUAACAGAGCGCUUGUUAAGUUUUAAAAGCAUCGAAAAUUUAUCGGAUCUAAACAAUAUACCGAAACCUUGUCCAUAUUAUUUUAUAAUUAAAGCUUAAUUAUAAUUAAAUGGGGUAGCAGAACGUUGAGCUAAAUUAAGAUUUUUAUUUUUUAAAUGAAAUUAUAAUAAUUUAACUCAAGUGAUAAUGGUGACAUGAGUAACUAAAAGAAAAAAUAAAAUUUUUCCGCCUAAAGCUUAUGGAUGUAAUUAAGUAACGGCCUCUAAGUUUAUAUUAUCUAAAGAUUUAAACGAUGAGAUAAUCUUUUGUACUAAGGACGACAUUUUAAGUGAAAAAUGUACUGGAAAAAUAGUACUAAAUUAAUGGCUAUAGCUAAUUAGUUAGCUAUAGCUAUAAAUGAAAAGUAACCGUACCUAGAAUCUGAAACAAGUAAGCUAGUAGAGAAUACGAAGGCGUAAAUGAGCUAACAAUCAUAAAGGAACUCGGCAAAUUGACUACCGUAACUUCGGGAUAAGGAGAGCUCAUUAUUCUUGAUUAAUAUCAGGUAAAGAGGAAGAAGCAUGAAAUAGUGUUGUACGACUGUUUAAUUAAAACACAGCACUUUGCUGAAAGAUUAAAAAUCUAAGUAUAGAGUGUGAUGUCUGCCCGGUGCCGGCUGGUUAACAGAUAUAAUUAAGUAUACUAAUAUUUGAUGUAGACGGAAACCCCGGUUAAAGGCGGCCUUAACGUGAGGGUCCUAAGGUAGCGAAAUGCCUUGGCCGUUAAAUGCGGUCUUGCAUGAAUGAUGUAACGAUACAACAGCUGUCUCUAUGAUUGACUCAGUGAAAUUGGAAUAGCUGUGCAGAUACAGUUUACCUCUAGUUAGACGAGAAGACCCUAUGCAGCUUUACUGUCACUAAUUAUAGAGUAUGAUAAACAAUUUUCAGAUUAUAAGGUAAUUGACGGCUAGCUUGUUUAGCAAGCUAGCUCUAUGACAAUGAGAAUCCUUUAUUUUUUUUUCAUAUGAAUGAAUUGGUUUAGGAUUAUGAGUAGGUAGCUGCUUCUGCUACUUGGCGCAAGCAUUGCUUGCGUCAGGUGUCUGAAGUAUGCAUUCCAGCUCAUGCAUAGUAAAUCAACCUAAUUCAGCUUAUUUUCCUUUCUGCCAUAAGCGCAUAAUGAUAGAUUUAACUUAAAUUUUGAUUUAUGCCAGCUGCAGAAAUAGAUAAGUACCCUUGGCUAAGGAACUAUCGCUAGGGGACAGUUUAUGUGGGGCACAGACCCUGUAAAGAGUAAACAGGAGUGUCUAAUAAUUUAUAAUUAUUUUGUUUGCGAUUUAAGAUAGUGAAACUAUUUUUAAUCAUAUAAAAUUAUUUAUAUGUACAUUCGUUGUAUAUAUAUUUAAAAAAAGGUAGGAUUUUCACUAUAUAGAAAUUAGAGAUAAUAAAAAUAUUAAGAAUAUACGUUUCAGGCGGGCGCGGCGCAAGCUCGCUCCCUUUGAAACGUAGCACUAAUAUUUUUUAGCUAUUAAGACAGGCUAUCAAGCUAGGCUCUAAUAGUUAUGUAUUAAUUAUCUAAAAAGCUCAACGGCUAAAUCUUGCCUUACUGUUUGAUUAUCAACAAAUCU
rnacentral:rRNA from 1 species